CCAACAUGAGCAUCCUGUAACUUUGAAAAGAAAAAAAAGAGAGUUGUGAGCUUUACAACACGGUAAGAAUUCUCCACACUCAUACCAGCAUGAGUAUGAAAUAUGUUUUUAACAAAUAUACAUAACAGAUAGGAAAUAAGAUUUAUAUAUCAUCAAUUUGAUGGUUAAAUAAUAUCAUCAUGUACAAUUCUAUUAAACACGUCACAUAUCACC
rnacentral:lncRNA from 1 species